rnacentral:rRNA from 1 species
AUGGCUAAGUACUUUUGGAGUAGCUCUCUUGACAAGAAAUCAUUGCAUUGGGUGUCUUGGAAGGAGCUAUCUACACCUAAGUGCAAGGGUGGUAUGGGUUUCCGAGACCCUCAUAUGUUCAAUCUUGCUAUGUUAGGCAAACACAGGUGGCGGUUCAUCACAAACCCAAAUUCCCUUUGUGCAAGAGUUUUGAAAGGCCGCUACUUUCCCGAUACUGACUUCAUGCAGGCUACUGUAGCCAAGUCGGCGUCGGCCACUUGGAGGGCGAUCAUGGCCGGGAGGGAG